GAGUUUGAUCGUGGCUCAGAUUGAACGCUGGCGGCAUGCCUUACACAUGCAAGUCGAACGGCAGCACGGGAGCUUGCUCCUGGUGGCGAGUGGCGAACGGGUGAGUAAUGCAUCGGAACGUAUCCUGGAGUGGGGAUAACGUAGCGAAGUUACGCUAAUACCGCAUAUUCUGUGAGCAGGAAAGCGGGGGACCUUCGGGCCUCGCGCUCUUGGAGCGGCCGAUGUCGGAUUAGCUAGUUGGUGAGGUAAAGGCUCACCAAGGCGACGAUCCGUAGCAGGUC
rnacentral:rRNA from 1 species